rnacentral:rRNA from 1 species
GGGCGGGCGGCUGCCUAAUACAUGCAAGUCGAGCGAAUGGAUUAAGAGCUUGCUCUUAUGAAGUUAGCGGCGGACGGGUGAGUAACACGUGGGUAACCUGCCCAUAAGACUGGGAUAACUCCGGGAAACCGGGGCUAAUACCGGAUAACAUUUUGAACCGCAUGGUUCGAAAUUGAAAGGCGGCUUCGGCUGUCACUUAUGGAUGGACCCGCGUCGCAUUAGCUAGUUGGUGAGGUAACGGCUCACCAAGGCAACGAUGCGUAGCCGACCUGAGAGGGUGAUCGGCCACACUGGGACUGAGACACGGCCCAGACUCCUACGGGAGGCAGCAGUAGGGAAUCUUCCGCAAUGGACGAAAGUCUGACGGAGCAACGCCGCGUGAGUGAUGAAGGCUUUCGGGUCGUAAAACUCUGUUGUUAGGGAAGAACAAGUGCUAGUUGAAUAAGCUGGCACCUUGACGGUACCUAACCAGAAAGCCACGGCUAACUACGUGCCAGCACCCGGGGGGUAAAAAAA